GCAACCACCACUGGGAGGUUGGCAAUGACUCAGGCCUUGAGUCAGCAGCAUCAGAUGAGGACGCAGCCAGCCCUCUGCCAGCAUAAGGGAGCCCCAGAAAGCCCCGAGCUCUGCUAGCUGGGCUUGCGGGGACCCCUGGCUGGAAACGAAUCAGGUUCAUCAGCGCCCAGGAGCCCAGGAGCCACCUCCCAGGGAAAAUUCACGCGCACAUGCACACACGCACACACACACGCGUGCACACAGAGGAGGCCUGACAUCAGGGUGGGUGGGGCUGACUAACACCAACCCAGAGAAGAGAAACCAGAGAUGGUGGGGCGCAGUGGGCAGUGAGGUGGGGUCUCAGCUGGAGGGGCUCACUCAGACUGUGGAGCACCCAUGUGCCUCCUAAACAGAAACUCCACACAGGCCAAGGAAACAGCUACCAGCUGACUCACUCUCCCAGCAAACACCAGCUCCUCCCCGAGCCAGGCCCUGGAAGAGAAGUCGACAUCACGAGCUACCAUCUGGGGGGUGGCACCAGGCUGCGAAGGAUCCACAGACUGGCACAUGCAGGAGGAAAUGGGACAGGGGAGGGGUAAGGCCCCCAACAAGCAGGAGCAGGGAAGGGUCCUCCCAGCGCCCCACUGUAACGGGGCCUCGUCAAUGUCCUGUGCUCACUGAAUAAAGCACUGCCAAUGAAAGGUGAAAGAGGAACAAGAACAUUCUCCUGGACGCCACCCACAGAAAACCGUGUGCAGGCUUGGCCCUCACCUUGGGGACCUUGGACACAGAACUGGUUGUGUCACAUCUGGAGGCCUGAUGCAGAAGGCACUCGGCUAAGCCCUAGUUACUGGCACUUGGGCACCUGCGCCCCCUCUCAGCAAACUCCAUGUCUCAUGAAAUUAGGACUGGAUUUCCACUUUAUUUUGAAAAUACGGCCAAGAUCCGUCCACGUGUGGCUGACUCAGAGCUGUGACAUUAAGGGAAAAUAAAGGAAAUGGUUGAGCUGCCUUUUCAGACAACAUUGGAAUUUUUGAAGAACUCGAGAAUCAGUAUACUGAAAGGUUUGCGCCGUGAAGUCGCUGCUUGUGAAGCCUGUGUGCAUCCAAAGUGCUGACAAGGACAAUGGAAGACACUUCAUUCAUAAGCUCCUUUAAAAGGCCAGAGAGCCCCCUCGAAAGGGACUGGUAGAUGAAUAAGACUGGUAAAAUAAACCCAAACAUUUGGGGGGGAAAAGGUGAUUUUAUUGUUUUUUAUUUUACUUUAUUUUAUUUUUUGAGACAGGGUAUCGCUCUGUCACCCAGGCUGGAGUGCAGUGGCAUGAUCUUGGCUCACUGCAGCUCCGGCUUCCCAGGUUCAAGCGAUCUUCGUGCCUCAGCCUCCCAAGUAGCUAGGACUACAGACACACGCCAUGAAGCCUGGCUAAUUUUCAUAUUUUUUUAUAGAGACAGGGUUUCCCCAUGUUGGCCAGGCUGGUCUUGAACCCCUGGGCUCAAGCGGUCCACCCUCCUCGGCCUCCCAAAGUGCUGGGAUUACAGGAGUGAGCCACUGUGCCUGGCAAAAAUGAGAUUUUAAAUGUGCUACUUUAAUAAACUGAGUAUUAAUGUUGAAAACCCAA